rnacentral:rRNA from 1 species
AGCGGCGAACGGGUGAGUAACACGUAGGUGAUCUGCCCAUCAGACGGGGACAACGAUUGGAAACGAUCGCUAAUACCGGAUAGGACGAAAGUUUAAAGGUGCUUCUGGCACCGCUGAUGGAUGAGCCUGCGGCGCAUUAGCUAGUUGGUAGGGUAAAGGCCUACCAAGGCGACGAUGCGUAGCCGACCUGAGAGGGUGAACGGCCACACUGGGACUGAGACACGGCCCAGACUCCUACGGGAGGCAGCAGUAGGGAAUCUUCGGCAAUGGGCGAAAGCCUGACCGAGCAACGCCGCGUGAAUGAUGAAGGCCUUCGGGUUGUAAAAUUCUGUUAUAAGGGAAGAACGACUUUAGUAGGAAAUGGCUAGAGUGUGACGGUACCUUAUGAGAAAGCCACGGCUAACUACGUGCCAGCAGCCGCGGUAAUACGUAGGUGGCGAGCGUUAUCCGGAAUUAUUGGGCGUAAAGAGCGCGCAGGUGGUUGAUUAAGUCUGAUGUGAAAGCCCACGGCUUAACCGUGGAGGGUCAUUGGAAACUGGUCGACUUGAGUGCAGAAGAGGGAAGUGGAAUUCCAUGUGUAGCGGUGAAAUGCGUAGAGAUAUGGAGGAACACCAGUGGCGAAGGCGGCUUCCUGGUCUGUAACUGACACUGAGGCGCGAAAGCGUGGUGAGACACAGGAUUAGAUACCCUGUUAGGCCACGCCGUAUACCAUGAGCGUAAAUUAU